rnacentral:rRNA from 1 species
CAGCACCUCAAGUGGUCAGGAUGAUUAUUGGGCCUAAAGCGUCCGUAGCCGGCGCUGUAAGUUUUCGGUUAAAUCUGUACGCUCAACGUACGGGCUGCCGGGAAUACUGCAGCGCUAGGGAGUGGGAGAGGUAGACGGUACUCGGUAGGAAGGGGUAAAAUCCUUUGAUCUAUUGAUGACCACCUGUGGCGAAGGCGGUCUACCAGAACACGUCCGACGGUGAGGGAUGAAAGCUGGGGGAGCAAACCGGAUUAGAUACCCGAGUAGUCC